CAAGUCGAACGGCAGCACGGAGAGCUUGCUCUCUGGUGGCGAGUGGCGAACGGGUGAGUAAUAUAUCGGAACGUGUCCGAUAAUGGGGGAUAACGAGUCGAAAGAUUCGCUAAUACCGCAUACGCCCUACGGGGGAAAGCAGGGGAUCGUAAGACCUUGCGUUAAUGGAGCGGCCGAUAUCUGAUUAGCUUGUUGGUGAGGUAAAGGCUCACCAAGGCGACGAUCAGUAGCUGGUUUGAGAGAACGACCAGCCACACUGGAACUGAGACACGGUCCAGACUCCUACGGGAGGCAGCAGUGGGGAAUUUUGGACAAUGGGGGCAACCCUGAUCCAGCCAUUCCGCGUGAGUGAAGAAGGCCUUCGGGUUGUAAAGCUCUUUCGCAAGGGAAGAAAACUUAUGAUCGAAUAAAUCAUGAGGUUGACGGUACCUUGAUAAGAAGCACCGGCUAACUACGUGCCAGCAGCCGCGGUAAUACGUAGGGUGCGAGCGUUAAUCGGAAUUACUGGGCGUAAAGCGUGCGCAGGCGGUUUUGUAAGUCGGAUGUGAAAUCCCCGGGCUCAACCUGGGAACUGCGUUCGAAACUGCAAGGCUAGAGUGUGUCAGAGGGGGGUAGAAUUCCACGUGUAGCAGUGAAAUGCGUAGAGAUGUGGAGGAAUACCAAUGGCGAAGGCAGCCCCCUGGGAUAACACUGACGCUCAUGCACGAAAGCGUGGGGAGCAAACAGGAUUAGAUACCCUGGUAGUCCACGCCCUAAACGAUGUCUACUAGUUGUUGGUGGAGUAAAAUCCAUGAGUAACGCAGCUAACGCGUGAAGUAGACCGCCUGGGGAGUACGGUCGCAAGAUUAAAACUCAAAGGAAUUGACGG
rnacentral:rRNA from 1 species